AGCUUUGCGCAGUGGCAGUAUCGUAGCCAGUGAGGUUUAUCCAAGGCACGAUUAUUGCUAACUGAAAACUUGGACUUCGCUGUAUGGCUUGGCUUCAUCUCAGCUUUUCCAGCACCUGUGGUCUGUGCCUUGAUGGUU
ensembl:snRNA U4 U4 spliceosomal RNA